GGAAGUAAAAGUUGUAACAAGGUCUCCGUUGGUGAACCAGCGGAGGGAUCAUUACCGAGUUUACAACUCCCAAACCCCUGUGAACAUACCUGUUUUGUUGCUUCGGCGGUGCCCUCGCUCUCGCGGCGAGGCCCGCCAGAGGACCCAAACAAACUCUUUGACUUUGAUCUAGGAUUAUACUUCUGAGUGAUACAAAAAAUAAAAUCAAAACUUUCAACAACGGAUCUCUUGGUUCUG
rnacentral:misc_RNA from 1 species